UAUAUUAAUUUUAUGAUAAAUAUCUAGUUACUUGUAGGAAUAUUUGUCUAAUAUAUGUAAUUCUCACUACAUAGUUUGUUUGAUGGGGGCAAAGUCUGUAAAUGCCUUAUAUGUCGUGAACCUGGUAAAAUAUCUUGUAGAGAAGGUGCUUGAUAACUGUUAUGGAUAGUUGAAAAAAAUGAAUGAAUGAAUAAUUAAAUGAAAAAUUGAGCAAAUGACAGGAAAGGAAUAGCUCUGAUCCAAUACUUGGACAACUAAGUUCUAGCGUGAAUUCUGUAAAACUUCAGCAUAGCUCUCUAUGUGUCUAC
rnacentral:lncRNA from 1 species